AUUGAACGCUGGCGGCAGGCCUAACACAUGCAAGUCGAACGGUAACAGGAAGAAGCUUGCUUCUUUGCUGACGAGUGGCGGACGGGUGAGUAAUGUCUGGGAAACUGCCUGAUGGAGGGGGAUAACUACUGGAAACGGUAGCUAAUACCGCAUAACGUCGCAAGACCAAAGGGGGGGACCUUCGGGCCUCUUGCCAUCGGAUGUGCCCAGAUGGGAUUAGCUAGUAGGUGGGGUAACGGCUCACCUAGGCGACGAUCCCUAGCUGGUCUGAGAGGAUGACCAGCCACACUGGAACUGAGACACGGUCCAGACUCCUACGGGAGGCAGCAGUGGGGAAUAUUGCACAAUGGGCGCAAGCCUGAUGCAGCCAUGCCGCGUGUGUGAAGAAGGCCUUCGGGUUGUAAAGUACUUUCAGCGGGGAGGAAGGGAGUAAAGUUAAUACCUUUGCUCAUUGACGUUACCCGCAGAAGAAGCACCGGCUAACUCCGUG
rnacentral:rRNA from 1 species